rnacentral:pre_miRNA from 1 species
AGCCUGCCUGCCUCCCAGCCCACGGCGCAUCCCGUCCUUACACCGCGACCACGAGCGGGAGGACGAGGCUGCGAGCGGAGCUGGAGGAACGUGCCGCU